rnacentral:piRNA from 1 species
UGGCCAGAGUGGUAGAAAUGUUGUUGC